UUCUGCUUACGGGAGGCAGCAGUGGGGAAUAUUGCACAAUGGGGGAAACCCUGAUGCAGCGACGCCGCGUGAGUGAAGAAGUAUCUCGGUAUGUAAAGCUCUAUCAGCAGGGAAGAAGAUGACGGUACCUGACUAAGAAGCCCCGGCUAACUACGUGCCAGCAGCCGCGGUAAUACGUAGGGGGCAAGCGUUAUCCGGAUUUACUGGGUGUAAAGGGAGCGUAGACGGCAUGGCAAGUCUGAUGUGAAAACCCGGGGCUCAACCCCGGGACUGCAUUGGAAACUGUCAGGCUAGAGUGUCGGAGA
rnacentral:rRNA from 1 species